AUAUAUAUAUAUAUAUAUUUAUUUGCUCCUAUAUGUAGAGAGACACACGCACACAUUCAUGGGAUGUGGGUAUUAUGUCCUCCCGUUUAGAAUUAAUUACUCAAUUAUAAUUCUGAAAGUGAAUAAAAUAUUCAAUCCAUCAUCUUUAGUCCAGCAAAAUAUAUUUUCUUGGAGUAAUGGUUAUGGAUUAAAUAUAUAUAAACAUAGAUAUAUAUUUAUACACCGAUACACACACACACACAGAAAGAUAGAUGGAUUAGUAGAUAGAUGUAUGUAAUCCUUAUCAUCAUUCCACAUUCAUUUUCCAUAAUUGCAUUGUCUGAUAUCAUUUAUUGAAUGGAUUUUCUGGGAUCGGAUACCCUUUGAGUUGCCGACCCUCACCUGUCUCCAGGUGCGGUGGUCAUUCUAUCUAACAGUUAAACAUCAUUUUCAUGAGGGUGAUAAUUGUUUACAAGCACCACAUGUGGCAUAAACACGCAGACACAUGGGCUGUUUCCAGUUUCCAUCUACCAAAUCCACCUGCAAUGUUUUGGAUGGCCCAGGGCUAUAAAAGAAACACUUGUCCAAAGUAUCAAGAAGGUUUUGAAUGGCCCAGGGCUAUAAAAGAAAUACUUGUCCAAAGUGUCAAGAAGGUUUUGGAUGGCCCAGGGCUAUAAAAGAAACACUUGUCCAAAGUGUCAAGAAGGUUUUGGAUGGCCCAGGGCUAUAAAAGAAACACUUGUCCAAAGUGUCAAGAAGGUUUUGGAUGGCCCAGGGCUAUAAAAGAAACACUUGUCCAAAGUGUCAAGAAGUGGCAUGGAACCUAAGGCUUACAUGGUUGGGAAGCAAAUUCCUCGACCACACAACGAUGCCUACAUCUCUCUCUCUAACUAUAUAUCUCUCUGUCUAUCUAUAUAUAUAUAUAUAUAUACACUUGUAUAUCACACACACACACACGUACAUAUGUGAGCGUGCCUGGCUCUAUGAAGGUCACUCGUUGCUAGUGGUGUUUUUGUCAGUUAUCUUGUUGACAAGUUCCCUGCAUACUUUGUGCCUUCAGCCACAUGAAAUAGGAGACCUCUACUUGAAAAGCAAAGAAGGUUUAGCCAGAAGAAGAAGGACGUCCAAGUGUGAAGCAAUGUUUCAAUAGAAUACUCAUCUAACCCAUGUAUGUAUGAAAAGAACAGAUGUAAAACUGAAUGAAUGUUCCUACAUGUGUAAUAAUACAUGCAUUGAUACAGCUGUAUAUUUUAUAUAGCAACAAAAUCUUAGGUCCACAUGCACACAUGGACUCCAACACAUAUUUACGCAUAUAGAUUUAUCUAAUGUGUACUACUGAAUUCAUGUGUAUGUUUGUAAGCGUUUGUGUGGUAAUCUCUGUGUAAGUAUGUUUGUUUAAAUAAUAUGUAAGUGUUUAUGAUGUGUAUGCCUGCAAAUGCAAUGUACAUUUCCAGUUCCUUGUUCCAGUUCUACCAUUCUCUUUUGUUUGACUGUUUUCUCACCGUAUACACUUUUGUUGGAAUCAACACUGCAUUCCUUAUUGCAGUUUAAACAAAUCUAUACAGACAAGUGAUACAAAUGGCUGAAUCUUUAUGAUGUGCCUGCAAGUGUGGUCCCAAUUAUAUAUAUACACACACACACACACACACACACAUAUAUAUAUAUAUAUAUAUAAUAAACAAUACCUCUUAUGUGUUUAAAGGUACACUGUAUGUAUAUAUAUAUAUAUAUAUAUAUAUAUAUAUAUAUAUAUAUAUAUAUAUAUAUAUAUGUGUGUAUAUAUAUUAGUUAAUGUUUGGUACAUGGGUUUACAAGCUUAUAUUUUGAUGCUGCAUGCAUUUUCAUUGUGCCCCUAAGCAAGACACAAGAUUCUACCUGCCCUCGGUUCAAAGUUAGCUGCGGAAAAUAAGAUAUUUAAUUUUAUGUGUGUGUGUGUGUGUACGUGUGCAGUUUUGUAUAUAUAUAUAUAUGUGUGUGUUUAUAUAUCUAUAUCUAUAUAUACAUACAUAUAUAUAUAUAUAUAUACAUAUAUAUGUAUGUAUGUAUGUAUGCAUGUAUGUAUAUAGGCGGCAAUGCUUUUGUAUCCCAUUGAUUGGUAAUGGGGGGGAAAGACAAGAUCUUGUUUAGAUCCUGUGAUAGAUUUCAAGGAAUAUUUCUCGGUACAUCUUGAUCAAUUAAUUGAUGGAUGGAUAAAAUAGCUUGAUUAAUUGAUUGAUUAAUUUGUUCUAGGUGGAGAAGGAAAUGAUAAAUAGAAAAAUGUGAUGAAAAAUAAACUUUUUUUAUAGAAACUUACUGGAGGGCCAACCUGUAAUAAAUUGUUAGUUGAGCAUGUUCUAUGCAGGAUUGAAAUUUAAAAUGAAAAAAAAAAAAAAUCUCUCUUUCUUUAUCUCUUUCUCCAUCUCUCUUCCCUUCACUCACUCCCCCACCCUCUCUUUCUCAUCUGCUUUUGAAAACUUAGAUCUUGUUGCUAAACAAAGAUCAAACAUAGAAAAAAAAAAAAAUAGAAUUGACGAAACUGAAAAAAAAAAAAUGUAUGUUUACACAAUUCAACACCUACUUUUCCUAUACAUAUAUAUAUAUAUAUAUAUGUAUGUAUGUAUCUAUAUAUAUAUAUGUAUGUAUAUAUAUAUAUAUAUGUGUGAGUGUGUGUGUGUGUGCGUGCGUAUGUGUGUGUGUGUAUAUAUAUAUAUAUAUACAUACUGUUCUACAAUGAGAAAUAGACUCCAACAAAACAUACUUGCCAUAUCUUUUUUUAAUUGCAGCUGGACCAAACAACAUUUUGUUAGCUAUGUAUUUUUUUUUUUAAUUUUGGAGUAUGUUUUAUUAUUAUUAUUAUUAUUAUUAUUAUUAUUAUUAUCAUUGAUAUUAUUAUUUUCCCUACAUAUGUAGAAAUAUAUCUAUGAACAUAUGUAUGCAAACACACACCCACACAUGCAAUGAUUUACCUACACACAGUGACGACAGACUGGAGGUCAUUAUCAAAAAGAGAAAAAUGUCAAUAAAAGACAAAAAGAAUCCCUCAUGUAACCAAUCUUUUUCCAUUUUGAUUUUGUAGAAUAUGAAAAUAAAUUAACAACAAUAUAAAAAAAGUCAUCUCUUAU
rnacentral:lncRNA from 1 species